GGUUCCAGUUGGCAACGGAGGAGGCUGGAGAAGCAUGAGGUUGCUGUGGUGGACGUCUCUAGUUGGUGUAGAUACAUGUUUAAGUAUUCAUCAAGCCCCUACUGGUGAUGGAUUUUCCUAAGGUGCUGUUGAACAAGGAUAUAUCCGACUCACCAUUAACUGGUACUGAUCACUUGAAGUUUCCCAGUUUAUAUUCAUGGUACCAGGGAGGUUAUGCCCCGCAGAGGCCGGAAUAUCUGCCGUUGGAGGUUAG